rnacentral:sRNA from 1 species
UUUUUGGCUUCCAAUUGCGGCAACUUUCCUCUCUUCUCCAUGUGAGAAAACCCUCACAUGAUGGACUUCAUUCAUACCCCGUGAAAUGUUUUAGAGAUCCCUCCUUUCCUUAGCUCCCAGACUCGGUGGUCUCCGUCCCGAAACGGCAGGCAAUCCCGAUAUACUUGGGUUCCGGGGAUUUCGUUACAUUUCAAACUUCUAUUUGGAUUGGGUGUUCGUGGAUUUCAAAGUGAGAAUGGGUCACCAAAAAGCUUUCAUUCUUUUCCUGCCGCCUUGCUCUUUGCCAUUUUUUGUUUGUUCUUCUCUUUGUGGAUCAAAAGCUCACCACUUUGCAGGCGUCCCGGGCAACGGCAUCUCUUCGAUUGGUUGUUGGACAAAACCAUUUUGCAGCCCCGAGUUAGUUGAAGACAAUUGUUGAUUUAUGGCUCAAAAGGAAAGGAGGAACCUGUUUAUUACUUCCCCCUUUUGUAGGAAAAUUUUCCUUAUUAUUUUUUAUUUAUUUAUUUAUGGAUAUUUGGUUUGUAUGUAAAGCCCAUUCUUAUCUUUUGGGCUGGUUUACAUCCUUGUUUUGCCUUAUAGCCUGACCCAAUUUGUAUGGACUCUAUUUUUUUUAUGUUGUAUAUUUUUGUUGUUCAAC